UGCUGAGUCCCAAAGGUUGGGCCCACGGCCGGCAAUCCUUGCACAGCUUCGAAGGAACAAUAUUUGGACUUAAAUUCGGCAACUUAAGCGGCCACAAAGCAAUGCAAGCCAGCCAGCGAGCACGCCACGUUGCAGUGCUGAACCAGCUGCUUCAUUUCAAAAGACAAGGAAACAAAAACUAAAAUCUCCAAUGGAUAAAUUUGCAGUUUGAUCAAAUGCUUUGCGCCCUCAACAACUCUCGUCCAUGUAAUUGAAAUUUGUGCAGACCUUAGCUGGCUGUAGCCCUUUGCGUUUGGAUACUCAACACUCAACAUUGAAUCGCCCACCCCGGACCCAUUGGAUGAACCCACCACCCAUCACCAAAAACUGUUUCGAAACUUGAACAAAAUUUUUGCAAUUUGUGAUUAAGUUUAGGUGUAACCAAUAAAUAAAAAACAAAAACAACAAUAGGCUACCAAA